rnacentral:lncRNA from 1 species
CCGGCUUGCGGACCAGAUUGCCGUAGGAGAAAACCUGAAACUCAUUGAAGCUUUUCCUUGCUUCAAACAUUUGUGAACCAUUUUGCACGUGUGUUCAACGAAUUAACAUUAUAUUUGCAACAGGGUAAUACAAAAACAUAUUUCUAGCUUGAAAUAACCUUCAAAAUAGCUUUUCACAUACAGAUAUUCACAAAACAACACAUGACAUGCUACUGCUUAGGGAUUGACAUGACUGACACAAUGACACUGAGACAAAAUACAAGAUUGCUAUUUAAGGACACAAAAGCAUACAAAAAACUAAAUACAACCAAAUUAAAACAUACUUUAGACAUACAAAACAUUACAAAUUCUUCCGUUAAUUUGUUGUGGUUCAAAGAAAUGGCACCCUGCACAGCAUAAACAACUUCAAAAAGAAUUUUGGAAAAAAUAAAGACAACAAAUACAGAAAAACGUGAAGAUAUGUCAAUGAAAAAAAUGCUCAAGCACUUCUUCUGACAAAACCUGAUGAUUGCGCCCCGACGGGAGCACGACGGAGCUCAGAUUUGCUCCCAUGGCCAGAGAGCUUGGCAUGGCGCGAGAUCUUGAGCCCAGCGGCGGAGGACGAACUCAGGGUAGUGGCCGCGGUGCUUGACCUGGAGGGAUGGCGGCGACGGAGAGCCCGAUGGUGGCGGCAGCGCUCGAGCCCGAGAGAGGCCAACAGUGGCAGAGGAGAGCCUUUGGGAGGGCGGCAGCGCUCGAGCGAAGAGCGGCGCCAGGGGGUCGGACAUCAGUCGGCGGCCGUGCUCAAGCGGAAAACGGAGAUAGAGAGGCUCAAGCGCCGUGAGGAAUCUGCGGAAUCAGGGAGCGGCGGAGGUCGAGGCUGCGGGAGCCGAAGGCCGCCGGGGGGAGUGCGGCGCUGCGGCGUCCCCGAGAGCGGAGGAGGCAGCGGAGGGGCCGUGUUAUUUCUCUCGCUCGACGCUGGAGAAACAAUCGACGGGAUAUGAUGGGCCAUAUCCC